rnacentral:rRNA from 1 species
UGGGGAAUAUUGGACAAUGGGCGAAAGCCUGAUGGAGCAACGCCGCGUGUGUGAUGAAGGGUUUCGGCUCGUAAAACACUGUUGUAAGAGAAGAAUGACAUUGAGAGUAACUGUUCAAUGUGUGACGGUAUCUUACCAGAAAGGAACGGCUAAAUACGUGUCAG